ACCAUCACAUUUUGCUACACUCUCUUUUUCAUCCUCUAGAUUUAAUAAAACCCACUACUUGAAAAAUUUAAAAACAAUGAUAAAACAAUCAAAAAAACCUCUCGAUUAUUCUUCAAAUUAUGUAACCAUCUAAAUUACCACCGAGACAAUCUAAAAUCGAGCCUUCACAUCAAGGUUUUUUAAACCGAAAGAUUUCAUGUUUGUAGAUGAAAUAUAAAGCGAUUGGCAGGAGAGAAGGCAUAGAGUCAAGGACAUGAAGAAAUCGCAAGAAUCAGUGCCGUUUUUGCUUAUGUGACCGACAAAGAAGAGAAAAAGCUACUUGUUUGUAUGUAGAUGUAUAGAAGAUUUAGAAUGAGAUUUAGAUAAUUUCUUUUGUAAUGAUGUUAAGGAAUUCGUUUGUAAUGGUAUAUAAUGGUAGACAUUUAGCAUAAAUUAAUGAAUAUUUAGUUUGAUCUUAA